UGAGUAACACGUGGGCAACCUGCCUGUAAGACUGGGAUAACUUCGGGAAACCGAAGCUAAUACCGGAUAGGAUCUUCUCCUUCAUGGGAGAUGAUUGAAAGAUGGUUUCGGCUAUCACUUACAGAUGGGCCCGCGGUGCAUUAGCUAGUUGGUGAGGUAACGGCUCACCAAGGCAACGAUGCAUAGCCGACCUGAGAGGGUGAUCGGCCACACUGGGACUGAGACACGGCCCAGACUCCUACGGGAGGCAGCAGUAGGGAAUCUUCCGCAAUGGACGAAAGUCUGACGGAGCAACGCCGCGUGAGUGAUGAAGGCUUUCGGGUCGUAAAACUCUGUUGUUAGGGAAGAACAAGUACGAGAGUAACUGCUCGUACCUUGACGGUACCUAACCAGAAAGCCACGGCUAACUACGUGCCAGCAGCCGCGGUAAUACGUAGGUGGCAAGCGUUAUCCGGAAUUAUUGGGCGUAAAGCGCGCGCAGGCGGUUUCUUAAGUCUGAUGUGAAAGCCCACGGCUCAACCGUGGAGGGUCAUUGGAAACUGGGGAACUUGAGUGCAGAAGAGAAAAGCGGAAUUCCACGUGUAGCGGUGAAAUGCGUAGAGAUGUGGAGGAACACCAGUGGCGAAGGCGGCUUUUUGGUCUGUAACUGACGCUGAGGCGCGAAAGC
rnacentral:rRNA from 1 species